rnacentral:lncRNA from 1 species
UUAAAGAUUGCACACCAUAUGGAUGGAAAUUGGAAAACACCAUAAACAAGCAGUAAAGUAAAUGAAGAACAAUACUUGUACUAGAAUAAUAUAGCUGCAUUUGCCAUUGCCUCUACUAUCAUUAUUCUGGUUUCCUUUCUUCCUUCUCUUUUGGUUUGGCUUCUUCCGCCUUCUUUUCUUUAGGUUUGGCUUCUUCCACCUUCUUAUCCUUAGCUUUAGCUUCUUCCACCUUCUUAUCUUUAGGUUUGGCUUCUUCCACUUUAGCUUUUGGUUUGCCUUUCUGUGGCUUCAUGAAGCAGAAACAAGAACAACAUGGACCCUGGAACAAGAACUUCAUUCUCUCUCUC